CGGGCCGCCCACAGCCCUGCCCCCGCCGUCCGCUCCCCGCGCUGCUUUCCCGCCUCACCUCAGCGGGCGGCGGCAGCUCCCCCCGCCCUGAGGCGGACAGGUGCGGAGCCCUGGGAGCGGCCGUAGAGCAUAGCAGAAGGCAGUACAGUAACGUAGCAAGAGGACUGCUUCCACAGACAGCUUAGCCGGUGAAGAACUAAAUAGAACACCAAGCAGUCACCUCACGGGAGGAUUUAUUAGCAAGGAACUCUUUGUACAUCCACAAAUGCAAUGGGCAACGCAGGUGGAAGCAGUGCACGCCAGUCUCCAUUUAAUCAUUCAGGUACCUCUUACAACCCCUGCUGUCUGUUGGUCUCCACUCUCUAGUGCUAUUGAUUUCAAGACACCGAAGUUUUUCUGUGGAACUCAAGGAGUCUUUUUGUUGUUGUUGUUCAUUCGAAUUAAAAGUGCAUUUGGCAGAUACAAAGAGGACAUCUGGCUUUCCCUGGGAGGGGAGUAGCCCAUCCUGCUUGCUACAGUGGUGAAGAUAUGAUAACAUGACACAAAAGAAUUAAGGUCCCAAGUGAGGCCAUGGAAGCAUGCUGCAGUCUUCCUGGAGGAGUAGGAGUCACAGGAAGUCUGUAGCACUACUCCUAGUGCACACAAAUUCCUUGCUGCCAUAGUUUGGAAGCAGCAGGAAGUUGGUACAAUUUGUAUAACCACAGUGCCAGUCCCUUUCCAGUCUUGCAAGCUUCUCCCAAUGAAGGCCUUCAGUGACAGGAAGCUGCCAACAUUUGAAACACUGACAGACUUAAUACCAUGCAUGUUACACUGACUGUUUGCAGGGAUCACGGAUCAACAGAGAGUCUUGAGGAAGAACUUGGCCAUAGAAGAGGGAUAGGAUGAGCAUCAUUGUACUUUUACUGCUAAAAGUAAAUAGCAAAGGAGAAUAGCUUUUCAGGAUGCAGAGAUUGGGAAGAAAAAGUUUAUCAUGGACUGGGGUAAUAUUUGGCUGUUGGCUGCAGGUCCUGUUUACUCAUUUUUAGCUGGAACUCAGAGGGGAGGCCCUGGGAUUGAGCCCUUUUGUGAGAGUAAGUCCUGAACAAUGGGAAGUCAGCAGGGCUGGGGGGAAAGAAGUAGAAAUCCCCUGCGGAGCAAGGGGAGAGAAGGAAACUGGGAUUGUGCUGGCUGCAGUUUACCCUUCUGGUUCUCACCAUUUCCUCUCCUAAACGUCUUUAGGAAAGAAAAGCUCAGGUUCCCUUCUGCCCCUUAUUGUCCUGCUGUGUUAACUCGCCUGCUGUCUAGGCAUCUGUGGCUUAGAGGAACCAGCUGUCUUCUCUGGGGCCUCUCACAGAUGUUUUGUGGGCUUCUUUAUAACUGGGCAGAUGUUGUAGGCUCAUGGAAACCCACAUAAAGCCAUGACAGUUGCUUUUAAGACUUCUUUAGUGAAGACUGUCUAAAGCAAAACCCGCAACCUCUGGUUUCCGUAGAACAUCAGACCCUUCUAGAAUAAUAAAGCUAUCACAGAGUGAGCCAGCAAUACAGAAGAGAUUCUGAAACAUCACUUUGUCGGUACAGAAAAUAUUGAUGUUUUUAUUAUCUGUGUGCAUCUCGGAAGCCUUGUAGAAGUCUGAACCCAAGGCAAGGCGGUGCUUGAUAGGUGCCGGGCCUUUGGGACUCGUUCUGAAGCUUCACUGCUGCUAUCAAUUGGUAACAACUGAACUAAGAGCAAAACAACAUAAAGUGAUUUAUUUUCCUGUCCUUGACACCUGGGACCCUUCUUGCACGUGUCGUGUUAUGAUGCAGCAGUUCUGGAGUUCAGCACCCUCCAGAGGGCCCUGCAUCAAGGAGAAAUUCUGUUCUGGAUGUCUGUGUUACUGCUGGUUAGUAAUGGCUAUGAAUGCUGAACGAUAGCUUUGCAACUUGUACUGAAACCCAAACCUGUGUUGUAUUCCCAAUCCUGGCAAUAAAAAGCAUUUGAAAAUGCUUUGACAUCUACUUUUCUGGAGACAUUCUCCCAGUAGCUCUGUCAAACUGUAAAAUGCAGCUGUGAAAUACUUGGCAGUUUACAAAUGUGACCCAGCAGUAAGAGUCUGCAGUCUGCAGCUAUAUGAUUAUUGCAGCUAGUCUAUUAAACUAAUAGAUUUGGAUUUUCUUUCUCUCGGAGGGAAGCCGUGUUGUUUUGUUUGCUUUGCCUUGCUGUUCAGUUUCAUAUUUGGAAGCAGACCUCAAGCACGGCUUGUUCAGCCCCUUUCUUCUUACAGGGGUGAUGUUGGGACUCAAAAUCUUAGGCAUUAAAGUUGGGGGGUUCUGACUUAAGAUCUUUAGGCUUUUUUUCUAGGGUCUUUGAAUGAUUUGUUUUCAAGAGGCGUUAUCUGUCUUUAAUUGUACUUUGUAAACUGAGUGGUCAGAUCCAGCUGAGAUCAAAAGGUUCCCAUCAGAUUAAGGGAGGUAGGUAAACAGCCAUUCUGAGACCCUUUUCAAGAUUCAGAGACACAGACAAAGCUGUGUCAUUAGCAAAGCAGACAGUCGGUGUGAUUUCUCUUCUGCAGCCCUAACUAUUGUCCCUUUCACACUUGCAUGUGGUUAUCACACAAAGGCCUUGUACUGCAUUAUGAUGCUAAUAUCUGGUCCAGCAUCCCGCUGCCAAUUAAGUUGGACAGGACAGGCUACAUGGAGUAUGUUCAUCUCAAGCACGGAGAACAGGGAUGGCAAACGUCUGUUGAGGUAUUAGUCCGAUAGCUUAUUUGUUAGCUGCCUGUCUGAAAGGGCUCGAAAAAAUGUGGUGCAUCUUUGACUUGACACUUCCUAAAGUCUUCUUUCAUCUUCCUCUCCCUCCGCCCCCACAAAAGACAGCCUUCACAUCAAAGUGCUCUGACUGCAAACAUUUGCAAACCUGCAAUACAAUUCCACGAUUUUUACAUCUCUGAAAAUCUUAUCCGGAUCACCAGAGCUUCUCUUAAGCAUACACAGCCCUCCUUAAAGCAAACGGGCACUGUGGACAAGCUCAGAGAUUGUGAUCAGCCUGCAUGCUUCUGUUCCUGCUCACAGUGUGGUGCCAACAGUGCUGUCAUUAUCCAUCAUCCAUUUCCAGCCAUCAGAAGGCAGUCGCUACAUGCUUCCAACUUUUUAAAGAUAUUGGAAGCCUCUCUGUGCUACCCACUGAACAGCUUGUUUGAUUGAGCACGUGGUAGCUGACGUAAGUAGGAUCGCAGCUCAUGUUGUGCACGCAUCACACAGUCACCCCUAUGUUAACGAAGUGUUGGGCUCAGGCUGAGACAGCGAGCGUGUGCACGUCUGGGAGAAGGUGGAGAGGAAUAUUCAUGCCACUGGAAGUCUCUUGCUGUUACUUAACAACUGCAUUAACCUCAUGUCACAAGUCAUGACCCACUGCUGACCCUAGCUAGCAGAGCGCCCGGCUCUGAAGUACAAAACAUGAAAGUGGGAAAAGUAAGUAGCAGAGGAGGAGAAAAGACCAGCUCUUGGUGGAAGAGGCUUGCAAGUCCAUUCAGACACGACUGAGACAAUAGCAGCACAGGAUAGUACACAGGCCAUCUCCUCCCCGCUGCUUCCUCACUGCCGAGCUAUUUUCAUGGUGAGCCUUUCAGAACCAGCUGCAGACUGACACAGCCCUUAGACUGCGGGAUUGCUCACAGUGUAAGGCACCAAAGGAAUCCACACACACAGAGCCUUCAGAUCUCUCCUUUCCAUCCUUACUCUUUGCUUUGCAGUAGAGCUCUGUUUGCGCAGGUGCCUGCAUUCAGAGAUGGGCCUACAAGCUCAAAAGCAAUCCCACCUGAACCUCCACAGCUGGGAGAAGGGAAACCUCCCCAACCAAAGGUGCUUUCUCCUUUGCUUUUUGCUGCAGUGAUGGGAUUUAAAAGCCCCAUUCUGCAGUGUUUGAUAGCAGGAAAUGGGCAAAGUGAUCCCAGCGUUGAGCAAAAAGGAAGAAGCUGGGAUCCCGUUGUAUAGCAGAGCUAGGGCAGGAGGGCAGAAGGACUGUGGACACAAUUCUGGGCGACCUGUCACGAGGAGUUGAGGGCUGUGGAGGGUGCCAGUGCUAUGCUGAACAAUUUUGCACUGUGAAGGAAUUCCCCAGCAUGUUUUGCUGGGCGCGGUCUGCUCGGCAGGCAUGCACUGCUGGAGGAACAGCUGUGGCCAGUGCUCCACGUCAGCACAGGGUGUUUCCGAAAGGAGCCUUUCUAAAACAACCUGCUUUCAAAACAAGCAGAGAUUGGCUUGUGUUCCGAAGCUUGAGGUUUAUGAAAAUUGGUAUUUCUCUUUGAUUUUCCAAUGGUAAAUAAUUAUAGGUUUGACAUCCUCAAGCUUUUAAGUGUCGUGAGUCAGGAACCCAGCUAUGAGGUGUUUAAUACAAUUCUCACUAACCUAAAAAUAAGCAUGAGGUUAUUUUUGCUCUCUCCUUGUGUUUACAUCCCUUAGCGUUACCAUUUCUAGCAUUUUCUCUGCAGCCACGUAAACCUGAAUGCCAGGGCUGACUGUGUGUGCACAGAGCCAUUCUGAGAGGCCAGGCAGCCCCCAGAGACUGCAGCAACCCUUUGACAACUGGCGUGGGGCUCUGGCACAGGGACCUGCACCAGGCCAGGAAGCUCCCAGAUGUGUACCCUCAGAUGUUCUCAAAGGGGCCGUAUCUUCUGUUUGAUCUACAGAGGCUGGCGGCAGACAGGGCUUCCCGUUUGACAAGGGCCAGGCCAGCCAGCUGUGCAGCAAUCCCUCCCACUUCCCUCUGCGGAACCUGCGUGUGGCUCAAGGCUGCUGGCCCGGCUCUGUUUACACGUCUCCAAAUUCAAGGAGGAAAAGUGAAUAUCAAACAGACCUGCGCUCUUUUGAUGUGGCUGAAGGAUGCUAUCGGGUCUGGGGGGUGUUGUGCCUUUGAGGCUCAUUUGUCUUUCCCCAGCCCUUCUGUGCAGGCCUGUAACCAGCCAUUCGGAUCUUCAAAGCCGCCCUAACCCCAAUGGUGCAGCUUCUUCAGAUCUGGCACCGUGGCCAGGAAUAGGGUGCUCUGUGUGGAACCACUUUUCUUUACGGUUUUCAGACACAGAGCUUUUGUUAUUCCUUGAAAUACGUAAUUUCACUAAAAUUAGUUACUGUCCAACAGGAAGAAAAUAAAGGAUUUGUUUUGUUUCACGAGUAGGAGGGUCAGUCCCUCCCUGGUGAGCUUUCCUGUGCUCAACCAGCUGCAAUGAGUGGUGUUUUGAGAGCUUCCUUCAUACUUACCCGUUAGUAAGCAAUCUAAAGUCUUAACAUACAUCCCACUCCUCUCAGAUUUAGUACUUGGAUGAACCAAAAGCCGACUGUGGGGAUGUCUGCCAACACAAAUUGUUGUCAGCGUCUGCCCUCUGCGGGUAAAUGGUUUAAAUUACUGCUAGAAUGCGUCAAGCUGUGUUGAGAGGAGGCGCUGUUGGAAGCACCUGGGAUUGGUUGUGCUCUGCUUUAGGACCAUCUCAUGUUACCAAAUCUUUUUUAAGGUGAAAAAUCUUUCUCUUUGCAAGUGAAAGAAGUACUCUUCCUAAUUAAUAAAUAGUAAGGAGAAUCAAAUUUUGAAACUCCAAAUUCUUGAAGUAGUUACAGUUUUGAAUACUGACGUUAGGAGAAACAACUAUAAGUAUUUUCAAUUCAUUAAUGAGAGCUUUUUUGCAUCCUAGACCUCAUUCAUUGAGUCUGUUUAUAGCUUUUCUAGGAAUUGGACUAAAAGCAGCUCAGACAUUUACCAUAAAGUAGCAUUCUGGUUAUCCUGCUGGUCCUGAUUUAUUUAAAACACACUUUGGAUUAGCAGAAACCAUCUUUAGAUUAAGAUGUGGCAACUCAAAAUGACCAUCUGAAAGCUAUUUUCAGCACAAAUGGUUCAUUUAUCCAACAAAUUGUCAUGCCUGGUCAAGACCCCCUUCUUUGGAGGUUGCGUGUGAGUAUGGUUCCUUCAUAGAAGGGGAAUCACCCUCCUUGAGAAAAUGUUCUCUUAAUGAAACCUCUCGCAUUUCGCUCUGUAGAGCUAAUAGGACUGCAUAUGUGGCCUGGAAUAUAAUCCAGAACAAUAGGUCUCUGCUUUCUGGACCUUUCUUCUUUGCUUGGCAGAAGCCUUGUACACCUCUGUGAAGCAACAGAAGGAAAAGCAUCUUUCUCUCCUCUGCUAAAAUCAGUUUCCAUAUCUCUCUCCUCAUGUGAUAAGAGUUACUUCCCUUGUUAAAAAUCUGCGUUGCCUACGCCACUCAGAUUAUUUUCUCACAGGGCCAAUUUAAUAGAGGUUUGAAGACCUGCUGAUUGCGUAGGGUGUCUGUGAGAGACAUAGUCUGUGGGAUUCAGAUAGUGAGGUGGUAAGAAAUAUUAAUGAGCUCUUUAUAUUCCUGUAGGCUCUGUUCUUAGAUCUUGGUGGGAUGCAAGGUUGGAAGCAGCCUGAGGUGGCCUGGCCAGCCUUCCCUGCUUGCAAGGGCUGCUCUGUAUUGAGUCCUGCAAGAAAAAAUCUGUUUUUCAGGCUGCUAGAUUUUGUUCUUGCCUAUUUGUAAAGAGUGGGCAGAGAUUAGAGAGUAAAAUCUUUAAUUUGAUGCCUUUUAAGGGUGCAAAAAUGUUGUGUGAUUUUUUUUUUCCUUGUAAGUAUUGUUUUAUGCCAGAAUAUUCUCCUUCCCUAUCUCCUGUAAUUUGUCAUAAAAUUGUUAUCCUAGUCUGAGGGACAUGGUGAUAAUUUCCAUGACAACAUAGAGAGAUUCCAGAAACAAAGAUUUCUGACUAACUAUAUGAAGGUUGUCAAAAAGCACAACUGCUAGAAUUCUGUCUCCCCACUGUAAAUAACAGAGGAAAGGGAAGGUUGCGUGAUCUCCUCGUGUGAAACUGAAAUUUGCUUAGCACCAGUCUUAGGGUAUGGGAGCCUUGCAAUGAGCUCCAGCCUUACUUUAGGUAAGGGACAUCAACACUGAUUUCCUUAAUGUUGGAUUUUUUAUAUCGGGUGAACAAGCAUUUUUCCUAACAAGAGCAUGACAGCCUUAAUUACCGCAGAUCCACUAAAUGUAACUGUGUGUCAUCAUCUUAAAUUGGGUCUGAUUCUGCAUAAAAAACACAGAAUGGAUACCCACAGAACUGAGGCAUUAUGAAAAGAUGGCCAUAAAUCCUGGAAACUUCUCUGUCCCACCAGUUUGACCCAGAUGUAGGGCUGUGCUCAGAGCUCUGCCAGCAGCUCUGAUCUCUCCAGUAUGUUCUGAGUCUUAAUAAUCACAUUUGGAAAGGUUCCAAAGGAAGAGACUUCGACCCCACGCUGAUCUACCUCUGACAGUGUACUUGAUGUCAAGUAGGGUUUCCCCCGGUAUUUAUAGUAGUUUUCUGGUAUUUAAACCAUCAUUCUCAAUUAGGUGAGCACCAAUGUAGUGCUGGGUACCCUCUGAGGCAGGAAUUGAUGGAAUCCCUGGCUCCAGCAGCUUAGGGGAGAGUAAAUCACUGUGUCUUGCCCAGGGCUGGUGCCAGGGUCAGCUGCAUGUAAAGCAGCUGUUUUUUCCAGCGUAGCCCCAGCACUGGGUAAGGAGCUAACUUCUUAAUACGUUUGCUGAUGGAUUUAGAAAGGUUAACAUGCUGAAAGUGAUCUUUAUUGUUCUCCAUGCCUUGCACCUUCACGCUGCAGUGACUAACACCUUCCAAUUCACACUCAAAGCUUUCCAGAGGAAAAGGAAAUGGUUGGUUCUCCGGACUGCACUGCUCUUGCAUUGCGGUUCCUCUUUGUACAUCAAAGAGCCACACACAUUAACCUGCCCCGCAUUGCCCCUUGGCUGCUCCACCUUGCUGCUGGCUUCAGCAACACAUCAUUUGCAUGGAAAAUGAUGCAAAGCAGUUGUUGAUUUUUUGCUUUAAUUAAUUGCAGAGCUGGGUACUGCUCUAUGUAAACAAGCUGAUGAUGUUUUGUUUGCUAACAAAUAAAAAGAAUUG
rnacentral:lncRNA from 1 species